GAUGAACGCUGGCGGCGUGCCUAAUACAUGCAAGUCGAGCGAACGGACGAGAAGCUUGCUUUUCUGAUGUUAGCGGCGGACGGGUGAGUAACACGUGGAUAACCUACCUAUAAGACUGGGAUAACUUCGGGAAACCGGAGCUAAUACCGGAUAAUAUUUUGAACCGCAUGGUUCAAAAGUGAAAGACGGUCUUGCUGUCACUUAUAGAUGGAUCCGCGCUGCAUUAGCUAGUUGGUAAGGUAACGGCUUACCAAGGCGGCGAUGCAUAGCCGACCUGAGAGGGUGAUCGGCCACACUGGAACUGAGACACGGUCCAGACUCCUACGGGAGGCAGCAGUAGGGAAUCUUCCGCAAUGGGCGAAAGCCUGACGGAGCAACGCCGCGUGAGUGAUGAAGGUCUUCGGAUCGUAAAACUCUGUUAUUAGGGAAGAACAUAUGUGUAAGUAACUGUGCACAUCUUGACGGUACCUAAUCAGAAAGCCACGGCUAACUACGUG
rnacentral:rRNA from 1 species